UACGUAGGGGGCUAGCGUUGUCCGGAAUCAUUGGGCGUAAAGAGCGUGUAGGCGGUCCGGUAAGUCCGCUGUGAAAGUCUGGGGCUCAACCCUCGAAUGCCGGUGGAUACUGUCGGGCUAGAGUGCGGAAGAGGCGAGUGGAAUUCCUGGUGUAGCGGUGAAAUGCGCAGAUAUCAGGAGGAACACCUAUUGCGAAGGCAGCUCGCUGGGACGUAACUGACGCUGAGACGCGAAAGCGUGGGGAGCAAACAGG
rnacentral:rRNA from 1 species